rnacentral:rRNA from 1 species
CAGGCUGCAACUCGCCUGCAUGAAGUCGGAGUUGCUAGUAAUCGUGGAUCAGAAUGCCACGGUGAAUGCGUUCCCGGGUCUUGUACACACCGCCCGUCACACCAUGGAAGGUUGGGGGCGCCCGAAGUUGGUCGAAAGAUAGAUUACCUAAGGCGAAAUCAAUGACUGGGGUGAAGUCGUAACAAGGUACC